CCACCCCAGUGCAAAUUCAAUGUAUUAACAGCAAGAAACUGGGGGUUUUACUAGCAUGUAAAGUAAGUCUGCUCUGCUCUGCUCGGAGGUUGCAUGAAUAAGGCACCUUCCUAGCUAGCACCAUUGCCUCUUCUACUGAUUCAGCAGCAUUUUUCCUUACUGAAGUCUGACUGUAAUGGCUGUAAGGAGAAAUACAUUUUGCUUAAUUCCUGCAUCAGCAAAAAAAUAUGUAUUUGGAUACAAAAGGACUCAGAGCCCAAACCAAAAAGGUCUGGAGAGCUGCUGAAAGUAUUGCAUUUUAUAUAAGAGCUGGAGUGCAAUCUCUGACUUAGGAGGUGCUUAAGCUGUACAAAACCAUUUCUUUGAAAUUAUACCUCAGAGCAAAGCUGCCUUUUAAAGCAAAGGAACUGGCCCUGAAGUCUCAGUCAUGCCGAAACUUUGACAUAGUUAAAGUGAAAGCAAAUCUAGCAAAUUACCUCCUGGGGCUGGUAAGUUCCUGUCCUCAGUGGCACAGAGCAGGCUGUUCAUUCGUUCUGAACACCAUACCUUAUGGGCCUCUCACACUGGGGUGUUCUCUCAGGAGGUUAGUCUGAAAUCAAGCUUUAAUUCUAUGGAUUUGAAAACUAAUUUUUUUUCCAUUCAGUAAAGGAGCAUUUCUAUUUGGAGAAGGAAAACUUGACUGUAACCAAGCUGAACCACAUGUGCUUUGUACUGUGCAGGCUCUGUCCAAAGCAUGGACCUGCCCUACUCAGACACCUGUUCCUGAACUGGCAUCAGAAGGAGGCCCUGGGAGCUCAAGGAAUUGUAGCAGUUUGGCUGCAGAGGCAUAGGGCUACCCACCUCUCCUUGCAGUCUGAGCUAGCAAUUCACUACCAAGGAUCUCCUCCUGGAUGGCUGGGACAAAUAUCUGGUCAGUCACUUCCACAGAGGAGUGUGCCUGUUUUGAGGGGUAGUCUCCCAUGAAUUUCAUGAUGGGUGAAUGUGCUGUUAAGGAGAAAAGCAGGCCAAUUUUGGAAGGAGGAUGAAUCAGGAGACCCACCUUUUCACAGCGGUACUCCCCAAAUCGAAUGCCACGGAUGACUUGGUGGUAAAUGAGAUCAGUGCUGACAGGAUCCUCCCGG